AUCCUGUCUGGGAAGUCCUUCUCCUGUCUCAUGGCUAAUCUCAGGCAGAUCCUUUCUGAACUGACUCAGAGUUUUUUGUUGGAUUACUUUUCCAUCUGACUCAAGGGCAGAGAUGCUGAGACUUUCUCGACAUGCUCCUCAGAGUGAUUUAUGGUCUGGGACCAGUGGCGAAUUGAAUUUCCUUUGUAUGGUGUAGUGGAGGACCCGGGCAUAACUCAGUCGCAUCCAUCACUAAUCGUGAUUCAGUCUGCUGGCUAGCCUGAUGCUGCUAUCUGGAGAAGACAGCUGGAACAGACAGUAAUAGAUACUGGCAGCUGACAGAAGGAGGGAGCAUGGUCUGAUACACAGCAUCAGUUGUCUCUGACCUAGAGGGGUUCUUCUACCAAGGGAAGGCCUGCACAACCGAGCUCAGCUGGAGGAAGAUGAAGCCAAGCUGACACAAAGCUGACUUUCAAGAGGCCUAAGGAAAAUGCAACCCCAUCUUCUUCAAAAACUGUAACCUUAAGAGUGUUUCUCUCUGUGAAGGUACUUUUCCAUGUUGUCACUUUAUCCCUGAUUCUGUGGGUAAUGCAGCUUUACAAGCUUAUGCAAAGCAACCCAGACUUUGUUGACCAAAGAAUGAUAGAUGAUACAUUGGGAGACAAAAUCAGGAUCUAAAAAGACUUUGCUUCAGCGAUGAGCCAAAUUAAGAAGAUGAAACUGAUUAGGCAUAACACGUAAAGGCAAAAAUAGCCCCCUACCCAGGAAGAGAAAUCUUUUUCAUUAAAGACAUGGUGAAAAAGACAGAGGUUUUAGUUAACUGGAAAUUUAAGAUGAAUAAACAGUGUGAUGUGACUAUUUAAAAUAUGCACAUAAUGUUAGGCUGCUUACAUGGAAAGAUAACAUCUGGAAGAAAUAAGAUGGCAAGGCCGCCAUACUCUAUGUUGGUCUGCCCACCUAUGGCCCCACAGUAUAAAAGAGUCUGACAAAUUGGAGCAUAUCAUAGGAUUGAAAACUGGGCAAAUUCAAUAUUUUACAGAUGAAGACAAUCAGACUCAGAGAGAGGGGAGUGGAGGUGACUUGUUCAAGGUCACACAAGUAGGAAGAAGCAAAGUUGGGCUUGGAAACCAGUUCUUUUGACUUCAAAGUCAGUUCUUUCUACUGGAUGGCUCUCCCUCAACUCGGAGAAGGGUGAUUAGGAUGGCGAAAGGACUAGAAACCCCACCAUAUGGGGAAUGGUCAAAUAAAGCAGUGAAAUUUAACCCCAAUAACAGAAAUAAGGACUAAAUGGUCACUAUCUUUGAAUGUAUGAUAAUAGUAGUAGUCUGUGGUCAUGCACCACUUUAAAAUUUUCAAAGUACAUUUGGAUACAUCACCUCGUUUGAUCCCACAACAACUCUGUGAGGUAUGGGGUUAUAAUUUGUUCCCUUUUAUAGACAAGAAAACAGGCUUAGAAAUUACUUGCUCAUGGUUACCCAGUGUCAGAAACAUAAUUCCAACCCAAAUCUUUCCAUACACAAUCUAGGAUUCUCUCCGUUACAAACAAAAAAAGGAUUAAAUUUAUUCUCUGCAAGACCAAAAGAAAUUGGAACCAAUGGAUAGAAAGUAUGGAGAGAAGGAUUUUUAGCCCAAUAUAAGGAAGCAUUCUAAUAUCGGAACACUGACAAAUGUAGUGAGCUCCUUGUUACUAGAAGCAUUCAAACAUGAUCAUCCAUUAGGAAUGUUGUCUACAAAAGGAUUUCUGCCAGGGAUAGGAGUUUAGGCAAGAUGAUCUCUAAUGUACCUUCUUAAGACUUUAUGAUUUUAUACAUUGAAAGGAAAAAUCCUUGUGAGGAGACGUUACCUUCUUGUUCAGACACACCCCACCCUUUCCAAAUUAACCUUAGCCCUCUUCAAAUGCAAGGGUUCCUCCUCUUAUUGUGUGGGAUAGAUCUUGCUUUUAUGGGAGGGUAAUAUUACUUAGUACCUUAAGGGUACUUUAA